rnacentral:rRNA from 1 species
CUUGCUCUCUGGGUGACGAGCGGCGGACGGGUGAGUAAUGUCUGGGAAACUGCCUGAUGGAGGGGGAUAACUACUGGAAACGGUAGCUAAUACCGCAUAACGUCUUCGGACCAAAGUGGGGGACCUUCGGGCCUCACGCCAUCAGAUGUGCCCAGAUGGGAUUAGCUAGUAGGUGGGGUAAUGGCUCACCUAGGCGACGAUCCCUAGCUGGUCUGAGAGGAUGACCAGCCACACUGGAACUGAGACACGGUCCAGACUCCUACGGGAGGCAGCAGUGGGGAAUAUUGCACAAUGGGCGCAAGCCUGAUGCAGCCAUGCCGCGUGUGUGAAGAAGGCCUUCGGGUUGUAAAGCACUUUCAGCGAGGAGGAAGGGUGGUGUGUUAAUAGCGCAUCACAUUGACGUUACUCGCAGAAGAAGCACCGGCUAACUCCGUGCCAGCAGCCGCGGUAAUACGGAGGGUGCAAGCGUUAAUCGGAAUUACUGGGCGUAAAGCGCACGCAGGCGGUUUGUUAAGUCAGAUGUGAAAUCCCCGCGCUUAACGUGGGAACUGCAUUUGAAACUGGCAAGCUAGAGUCUUGUAGAGGGGGGUAGAAUUCCAGGUGUAGCGGUGAAAUGCGUAGAGAUCUGGAGGAAUACCGGUGGC